UCCAGGGUAGCCUAGUGGACAUGGCAUCUGCCCGGUAAGCGGAAGGUCGUGGGUUCGAUUCCCGCCCCUGGAU